rnacentral:tRNA from 2 species
CCCCUCGUCGUUCAACGGAUAGGACACGAGAUUGCGGAUCUCGUAAUUGAGGUUCGAUUCCUCACGAGGGGACCA